UACGAAGGGGGCUAGCGUUGCUCGGAAUUACUGGGCGUAAAGGGUGCGCAGGCGGCCAUGUGUGUCAGGUGUGAAAGCCCGAGGCUCAACCUCGGAAUUGCGCCUGAAACUACAUGGCUAGAGUACUGGAGAGGGUAGCGGAAUUCAUGGUGUAGCAGUGAAAUGCGUAGAUAUCAUGAGGAACACCAGAGGCGAAGGCGGCUACCUGGACAGUUACUGACGCUCAGGCACGAAAGCGUGGGGAGCAAAAGGG
rnacentral:rRNA from 1 species